ensembl:lncRNA
UUUUUCUUUUUUGACCAGUGUUUGAUUUGUGAGCAUAGCUGUUCGGGGGAGGCUUUAAGACUAAGCGGAAUCCUCUGCCGGCUGCUCAAGCGAGCGCGUCUCGCGCUAACCGAGUUAGGUUUUAUUAACGUCCGCGUUUCGACUUCAGCUCACGUUAAUCAGUUUGGGAGAAUGCAAACAACGUGAUUCCAACAUCCAGCCAUGCAAGAAAACGUGCAUUUUACCUGAGGGAAGACAGAAUCAAUAAGGAAAGUCGUCUUUCUUUAAUGUAGAUGCUGUCAUGAAAAGGCAACUGCUGGACACCUGGGACAGGCCAUCAAUUCCAAGUUGGCGGAACUGAGGUUUCAACUGAAGAAAAAGGAGACCUGUUAGAGUUUAGAGUUGUCUAAUAGAGAGGGUGAAGGAAGAACAUCCAAACCCUGCCCCUGCUUCCUUCAAGAUUUUUUAUGGAUUUAUAUAAUGGUGUUUUUUUGUAAAGAAAAGACAGUGGCAAAAUUAACAUGACACUACUUUGAUGUUUUGUUCUACAAAUUAAACCACACACACACUCCAAAAACACCAAUUUUGAUACAAUUUGCAUUUGCAAGAAAAAAAACAUCAAAGUAUUGUCAUGUUAAUUUAGCCACUGCCUUUACUUUACGAAAAAACAUCAUUUUAUAAAUCCAUAAAAAAUCUUGAAGAAAUCAGGGGCAGGGUUUGGAUGUUCUUCUUUCACCCUCUCUAUUAGACAACUCUAAAAUUGAUUUUUUUUUACACAGACUUUAAUUAAUAAAAAAAAAAAAAAACUUCUCUUCAAGAAUUACUUUUCAGGUUUUAGCAUCAUCCUUUAGUAUUCAUAAUAGCAAUUUCAGUAAAGUUGCUGGUUUGAUUUAUGUUUUAAUUGUGCAGUUUAUGUGCAUUCUGUUCA